GGCUUUAAAUGUUCUGGUUGCAACCCGGAAGGAGAAGAAGCGACUUCUAAAGCCU
rnacentral:tRNA from 1 species